CAUGCAGGCAGGGGGUGUUCUUUCAGGGUCCAGGAGACUAGACUAGGAGACUGAUUGUUAAAUAUGGGAGCUCUGCGCCAGCAUCCUGAGUUAGCAGAAGCCUGCAAUGGUGAUACAGACAAAAUCCACAUCAGAAUGAGGAAAGGAGAGUAAAGACACAUCAGAGACUGAGCUGGGCAGCAAUGGUUCAUGCUGUACAAAGCCGUGACACCAUCUUUAGACUCCAAGGAAUAGGAGAGGCUUUAUAAUCUGACAGAUCAGAGGAUUGGAAGCAUUAUCGCAACUUCCUGAUAGGAUUCUCUGGAGGGCCUGCCUGGCUUAUUGUUUGGACUGCCCACCUGCCAUUUGCUGCCUCUCAUUAUAUAAACAUGCUACUGUGCGCUGCAAUGGGGAGUGCCGCAGAUCAGCUCUUCCUGCAUGACACAGGACUGCUUUAAGAUGAAAAAAGCCAGGAGAGGGCACCCAGGAUCAACUCCAAGCCCCUGCAUCUCCUCACCUUUUCUCUACAAAGCGCUGCAUUCCUAUCUUCAGUAGAUGUGAUUGAAUGCCAUACCAUGCUAUUAGUUUAGACCCUAAUUCUGCUUGGGUCAAUCUGAUUGAUGUACCAGUGCUAUACUCAAUAAAGUCUUUGGAAACAAAGUGUGGCCAUUUCCAGCAAAGGACACUUUAGCUAUUGGUUGGAGGAAGUUUUUGUUUAAGUGAGAAAACAAAUAGAUUCUCUGGUCCCUUUCUGCCAGCCCUGUCAAGUGCAUGCAGUGUGCUGAAUAGGAUUUAUCACAGGCUAAGGGUGGGACAUUUUGUGGGUUGUCUCUUCCGGACAGACAUUUCAGGCUGAACUGUUUAAUUAGUUUAAAUGCUGCUGUACUGAAGUGUGGGUGAAUUAUGUGCAAAUAUAUCUGAGGUCUUGCAUUUCUUGGGCUGCCAAAAGUUGGUAGUGGUGUCGAAAGCAAUGAAAUGGAAACAAUUUUUAAUAGCUAUAAAAGUGUUCCCAAGGUUAGAUUGCUAAAUUGUAAUAGCAGUUUAAUGAAUAUUUAUUUGAAAAAUACUAUAACUUUGGAAUCACAAUUUAGGAAAAAAUGUCCAGAUGUUUAUAUUUGCAAAGUUAAGUUAAUAGCAUGCUAUUAUAUAAUACAGCACAAGUGAAAAUGUUUUGUACACAUCAGCCACUCUUUUAAAACCACACUUUACUGAAUAAAAAUACACAGUAGGAAAAGCCAU